UUUUUGAUGACCGAAGAAAGGUGAUAGAUUUUUAAUCUUUUCAUGGAUUAUAUCCUCUUGCGG
rnacentral:tRNA from 1 species